GCCUGCGUGGCACAAUUGGUCAGCGCGUGAGACUCUUAAUCUCAAGGUUACGGGUUCGAAUCCCGUCGUGGGUU